AAUCGAGCGCCUGCUGCUGCUCCUCGGAGAGAAGCCGUCCUCCGUCAGUCCAUCGGAGGGCGCCGCCUGCGAGCGAGUUCAGCAGAAAGCCGCUGUGACUCUGGCCCGGCUGAGCAGAGACCCUGAAGUCUCCCAGAUAGCCAUCCAGCUCAAAGCUGUUCCUCGUCUCAUUGAACUGUGUCGCUCCCCCACUGAGAGAAAUAACAGCGACUCAGUGCUGGUCGCUUGCCUGGCGGCCUUGAGGAGGCUGGCAGCGGGGUGUCCAGACAGCAUCGAGGCGGCGGACCACCAGCAGCUGAUCAAACCGCGGCUCGUGGACUCCUUCCUGCUGUGCUCCAACAUGGAGGAGAGCUUUGUGUGACGCGCUGCUCAGGAAACAGAGGGCAGAGCUCAACUCCUGCGAAAAGAUGGUGUACGUUCACCGUUUCAUGAGAGGAGAGGACUAACGAGCAGCGUCACUCAUGAGUAGGGUUGCAAAAUUCCGGGAAUUUUUAAAGAUGGAAACUUUCCACGGGAAUUUAUGGGAAUAAACUGGGAA